UACGUAGGGCGCAAGCGUUGUCCGGAAUUAUUGGGCGUAAAGAGCUCGUAGGCGGCCUGUUGCGUCCGCUGUGAAAUCCCGGGGCUCAACCCCGGGCCUGCAGUGGAUACGGGCUGGCUAGAGGCAGGCAGGGGAGAACGGAAUUCCUGGUGUAGCGGUGAAAUGCGCAGAUAUCAGGAGGAACACCGGUGGCGAAGGCGGGUCUCUGGGCCGAUACUGACACUGAGGAGCGAAAGCGUGGGGAGCGAACAGG
rnacentral:rRNA from 1 species